rnacentral:rRNA from 1 species
ACGAACGCUGGCGGCGUGCUUCACACAUGCAAGUCGAACGGAAAGGCCCUGCUUUUGUGGGGUGCUCGAGUGGCGAACGGGUGAGUAACACGUGAGUAACCUGCCCUUGACUUUGGGAUAACUUCAGGAAACUGGGGCUAAUACCGGAUAGGAGCUCCUGCUGCAUGGUGGGGGUUGGAAGGUUUCGGCGGUUGGGGAUGGACUCGCGGCUUAUCAGCUUGUUGGUGGGGUAGUGGCUUACCAAGGCUUUGACGGGUAGCCGGCCUGAGAGGGUGACCGGCCACAUUGGGACUGAGAUACGGCCCAGACUCCUACGGGAGGCAGCAGUGGGGAAUAUUGCACAAUGGGCGGAAGCCUGAUGCAGCAACGCCGCGUGCGGGAUGACGGCCUUCGGGUUGUAAACCGCUUUCGCCUGUGACGAAGCGUGAGUGACGGUAAUGGGUAAAGAAGCACCGGCUAACUACGUG